rnacentral:lncRNA from 1 species
UUAUGACAUAUGAUACAGGUGUUAUUUAUUUUAGUUUUUUUUUGUUGAGCUUGUUGAGUUGUCAAAAAUCAUUGCCUAAAAUAUAGACUAUUAAAAUUUAAAUAUUAAAAUAUGAUUUUGUUGAAAAAUACAAAGGUGCAAUAUUAUUUUGUUGGAAAAAAAAGGAUAUUUAUGAACUAAACCUUGGUGGAAGUGGUAAAGAGUUUAGAAUCAAUCACUAGUGAUUUGUCUGUAUCAGGCUUCUUCCUAGAAUGAAAGACAAUACAAAAUUACACUGUU